ensembl:lncRNA TTN-AS1 TTN antisense RNA 1
UUGUCUUUUUCCCGUCGAUGACAAAGCUGUAUUCUCCCUGGUCCUCCUUGGUUACAUCCUUGACCGUGAGGUUCUGACGUCCACGACGAGAUGUAAUUGUAUAUUUGCCAUUGGAUUUAAGCUCCACAUCAUUAUGAUACCAUUUUCCUUCUAUAUUUUCUGGGGAUACAAUGCACUCUAAUUCUCCUGAAUAUGAUUCUGGAACUUCUAUGUCCUGAAGUUCUUUCACAAACUCAACAACUGCACCUGAAGUGUAUAACAGAAAGAUAAAUCAAUUUUUUUGGAGAGCCUACGUCCAGGGGACAUUCUUGCAGGGGACAUCCGUGCAGGAGACAUCCUUGCAGGUGACAUCCGUGCAGGAGACAUGCGUAUAGGAGACCUGCUCACUGAACGUGGAGAGAGAGAUCUGCAAAACAAAGACACACAAUACUUUCGGGCAAGAAAUAAAAACUUCUGGCAAUUGUUGGUGUUGCCAAUGGUGCAACAUACCAUGAAGAUUAAGGAAACUUAGCAACAGUGAACUUGGACCUUCUAAUAGCUGUCUAACCCCGAGCUCAUCACUUGAAAAUGAAAAUAUCAAAUAAAAAAAGGAAAGUAUAAUUUA